GAUGAACGCUGGCGGCGUGCCUAAUACAUGCAAGUCGAGCGAACGGACGAGAAGCUUGCUUCUCUGAUGUUAGCGGCGGACGGGUGAGUAACACGUGGAUAACCUACCUAUAAGACUGGGAUAACUUCGGGAAACCGGAGCUAAUACCGGAUAAUAUUUUGAACCGCAUGGUUCAAAAGUGAAAGACGGUCUUGCUGUCACUUAUAGAUGGAUCCGCGCUGCAUUAGCUAGUUGGUAAAGUAACGGCUUACCAAGGCAACGAUGCAUAGCCGACCUGAGAGGGUGAUCGGCCACACUGGAAGUGAGACACGGUCCAGACUCCUACGGGAGGCAGCAGUAGGGAAUCUUCCGCGAUGGGCGAAAGCCUGACGGAGCAACGCCGCGUGAGUGAUGAAGGUCUUCGGAUCGUAAAACUCUGUUAUUAGGGAAGAACAUAUGUGUAAGUAACUGUGCACAUCUUGACGGUACCUAAUCAGAAAGCCACGGCUAACUACGUG
rnacentral:rRNA from 1 species